UGAGGAAUAUUGGUCAAUGGGCGCGAGCCUGAACCAGCCAAGUCGCGUGAAGGAAGAAUGUCCUAUGGAUUGUAAACUUCUUUUUUAGGGGUAAUAAAGUGCGGUACGUGUACCGUUUUGUAUGUACCCUACGAAUAAGGAUCGGCUAACUCCGUGCCAGCAGCCGCGGUAAUACGGAGGAUCCAAGCGUUAUCCGGAUUUAUUGGGUUUAAAGGGUGCGCAGGCGGGAUAAUAAGUCAGUGGUGAAAGUUUGCAGCUUAACUGUAAAAUUGCCGUUGAAACUGUUAUUCUUGAGUGCAGACAAGGUAGGCGGAAUGUAUUGUGUAGCGGUGAAAUGCUUAGAUAUAAUACAGAACCCCGAUUGCGAAGGCAGCUUACCGGACUGUAACUGACGCUCAG
rnacentral:rRNA from 1 species